rnacentral:rRNA from 1 species
AAGACCUUGCGCUUUUGGAGCGGCCGAUGCCUGAUUAGCUUGUUGGUAAGGUAAAAGCUUACCAAGGCUUCGAUCAGUAGCUGGUCUGAGAGGACGGCCAGCCACACUGGGACUGAGACACGGCCCAGACUCCUACGGGAGGCAGCAGUGGGGAAUUUUGGACAAUGGGGGCAACCCUGAUCCAGCCAUGCCGCGUGAGUGAAGAAGGCCUUCGGGUUGUAAAGCUCUUUCAGCCGGGAAGAAAAGGUUGCGACUAAUAAUCGCAAUCCAUGACGGUACCGAAAGAAGAAGCACCGGCUAACUACGUGCCAGCAGCCGCGGUAAUGCGUAGGGUGCAAGCGUUAAUCGGAAUUACUGGGCGUAAAGCGUGCGCAGGUGGUUUUGUAAGUCAGAUGUGAAAUCCCCGGGCUUAACCUGGGAACU